AUAACUAUGAGCUAACCAGUGUUUCUCAAAACAUAGAAACUAUUGUUGUAUUUAUCAUUUAAAAAUACCUAAAAAUAUUAGAUUGCUUAAUCAAACUUUACUAUUGACAUAUAUCUUUCAGCCUUCAAAAUUUCAGAAGUGCUUACAGUUGAUACCAUCAAAUAAUAAGUUAUAUCUAUUGAACACUUACAUAUAUAAAACCAAAACAAAUGUUCCAAUAUAAGACGACAAGAAAAAUAUAAAAUUAGAAAAAGAAUGAAUUGUCAUGUUGUACACAGCAGUGUACAACGGUGUACCAAGUAAUGUACCAAAUCCCUCAAUAGCACCAAUAAAUGCAAAAAUUUUUCCUAAAAUCAAAAAUAUGUGUUUGAUUAUGAAACAUAACAAAAAAAUUUUAUCUUACCUAAAUCUUUGACUGGAAAAGUUUUUGACAAUUGAGAUCUGACUAAUGGUUCAUUUGUAUACAUAAAACAUCCAAAUACUCUAAUUAUGUAAAAGUCCCACCAAUUUGAAGCAUAUGCUAAGCCUACUUUUUCUAUAACCCUCAGACCCGUAGUAGCAGUAGCAAGAUACAUGUCGGGUAUUCUCAAUUUAGUACUUAAAAAGUACAAACUAAUUAUAGGAAUAGUAGCUAAAAGUAAAACUGUAU